CGCAACCAGGGGCUCAUUAGGUCCCUGUAUGGGUUUGCUUACCAGACAAAUUAGUUGGCCUUUUGGCCGCAGCCUGGAUGCCUCCUAGCAGUGUCUGGCGAUACCGAUUGAGAGCCUCGUUACUCGUUCAGGUCCCAGUCCAGGCGCGUGGCGGGGAAGACAAACUCUACUCGGGCUGGGUCAAUCGUGGGUUGCCUGUCCGGGCCAGGAAUGGAUUUGAUCACCUCCCUCCUCAUCUGCUCAUGCUCUGCAGAAGUGAAGAGGGUUUGGAGGAGCUGCUGGCAGUCCUCCAAGUUGGCUGGGCCGGGCUUUCCCUUUAAAGGCGGCCCAGUCAAGAAAACUGAUUGUUUUUUGCAGCCUUGUUUUUGUGGGGUUUAAGACAAGACUGUAACUAUUUAGGGUUGUCUACUUAAGUUGUUAUUCCAGAUAUGUAUAUAAGGGACUUGGUCUGGAUGUCCUGGAUGGCCGGCACCCUGUUGGCAAGUAUAACUUGGACACUGCCCUCUGGGGGCCAUCCAGUACCAAAUGUGGGCCACUGUCAUUCACAAAAUUUCUGUAAGUCAAAGGUUUUAACUGAAAAGCCUUAGGGCCUGGCCCGAUGCUGAAAGUCCUGGAAAUUUCUCAAGAAGCAUUUAAGAGGAGAGCAAGUAACACAGGACUGAGAUUGGCCCAUGAUGAAAAGCUUAAAUAUCACAAGAUUCAGGCAACAGUCAGAAUGAGGAGCAACACCACAACCAGAAAAGGAAAGAAACCUACUGCAGUCCAGUCUACACCCACUAAUCACAGCUCCCAAUCCUCUGGGGCCACUGAGUAAAGUCUGAUAUCCAGCAAAUUGAGUAAACCCGAACAGGCCAACAGCAAUGUAAGAAGCUGACUCAGUCAUUCAGUUCAAGGGGACCUGAGUAGUCUGUCUCAGAGACAAUUUUUAUAUACAGUCUACUUUUAUUAAACACCUAAUGCCAGCGACAAAACACAGAGACACAGACUUGUUUUACAGGGUAGGGUUUCUCAAGCUCCGGGGGCUUUUGGCCGUGGAGUUGUGACACUCACUCACCCACACCACCUGUGGACAUAAAGGAUGGAGGACAAGACAAUUGGCCCCUGAUGACAGCGCGCAUAAAUCGGACUCCCUACUGUCACUGCUGCCUCAGAUGGACCCAAGAUGGUGGUGGCAAGCACAGGCUGUCUACCCCUCUCUUGAUUUUGAUAAUAAGGGCCUCGGACCCGCUGACACCAAGGGCAGUCAGGGAGCUGCCAAUUUGGCUUGACCGGUGCAGUUGGAUUAAUUUGGCGCCUUGUUGAUUUCACAGUCGACUCUUUAAAUCUCAUUCAAAAAGAAAACCAGAAAUUUCAGCCACCUAAAAAGAUCUGAAGAGCACAUACAGAGAAAGUUCAAAACUAUAACCUAGGACCCAGAUGACAGGUGAAACCGAAAUGGAAUUGAAGCUGAGAGAAAUGAAAGUAGAAGAAGAGUAAUCCAAAAGAAAAUACUCAGGAAUCUGACCAGGACUCGCAAGUCCUAGGUGACAUUUCACAUCCCAGGACUCGCCCGAGGAAAAGGGGAAACAGAAUCAGGUCCUGACAGUAAGUUCCAGGUGACGUCUCACCUCUUGCAACCCGCCUGAGCAAUGAAGCUGCAUUCCAGCCAAUCUCCUGAGGUGCCAGACAACUCCGGAGCCAGAAACAGACCAGAAAAGAACUCACCGGUGAACAGAACCAGAAGACUCGUCUAGAAGAAUCUGCAGUUUUGAAGGUGUCAGGGGCGGUGCAUUGUGAAGCCUCUGCCCGGGGCUGAGGAAUGUCUCCCAGAGGGCUUCCCCUAGGCAAGACCCUCGACUCCACGCCUGGUCCUCAGGCACAGAUGGUGGCCAGGUACCCGGUAUUAGGGCAGAGUCUCGCUAGGGCCUCCAAAUGUUAUGGUCUGAGACUCAAAAAAUGACCACCUAAGGACUGAAUUGAGCCAAAUUAGGAGUCUUCAUUAGCUGGCCAGCGACUCCUCUCUGCGGCUGACAGUCUUGGGUUUGGCUGCCAAAGAUUGAAGAAGCCCUAACUUGGUGACCCCCAUCACCCUCGCUGAGCCCAGGGUAACAGUCAAGGUAGCUGUUUCUCCAACGCCGCAUACAGAAACUCUCUCGGGUCACAGGAAAUCAGCUGCUUCUACACCCCUACUCUCCCCUACCAGUUACCCCUCUGCCAAACCAUUCCAGCCUCUACCCCUAACUACAACUCCGUUCAGCAGGAAGUAGCCAAAAAGGCCCCGGUGCCCCAUCAUCACCAAAAGGCUGGAAUGUAAGGCUGAGGGUGGGAAGCCCCUCCCCAAUAAAAAAGAGAAACUCUGCUAAAGGCAGAGUACUCUCUGCAGUGGUAGGCAAAAGCCUGCCUCGGAGUUACAGCCUGUCAUUGCUAGCUGAACACCCCAGCCCGGGCUCAACCGCAUCCUGCUUUCUGCGACCUAGACACUGUGACUUCUCGAGGCUCUGGUUUCUCCCGGGACCUGUUACCCUCACCCUGCAGCACUCCAAUAAAGCCUCUUUGCUUAACCCUUUCAA